rnacentral:lncRNA from 10 species
AGAGACGUCGGCUCCUGGGUUCUAGGCGGCUGCUGCUCGCACAGCCAGAGCAGUUGGGCCGCCUCCCGCUGCCUGGUGCCGCCCCCCUCCCCACGCGGAGAUGUCGCCUCGGGUACCCUCUUCCGCCCCUCUCCGAGGGGCUGCUGCACCAGCCAAUCGGGAACCCCGAUGCGCGUCUGUUGGCUGCCACUCAGCUGUCAACCGUCAGUCAACAGUCUGCUGGCCACGGGCCCCCCAACUGUCAGUCAACCUGUCAGUCAACAGGCAGAGGGCUGCAUUCCUUCGUUCGUAUGUUCCUUGGUUCAUUCAUUCAGGUAGCAAAUAUUCCAGGCAGCCAACCUUUAUUGCGCCCAGGCCCGGCACCAAGUCGAAUACCCCACGCUUGCCUUCACAGAAUCAAUCAACAGAUAUUUGUUGGGUGCCAACCAUGUGUCAACUCACUCUGCCUUCCUAGAGCUUACAUUCUAAAGGAAGAGACAUAGUCCAAGCCCACAAAUAAGAUAAUUUCAGAUGCUGCUAAGUUUUACAAAAACACAUUUUGUAACACAAGGUGAGGGGACAGAGAGUGAGCAGAGGUGUGGGUUACUUUAGAUAGGGUGGUCAAGGAAGGCCUCGCUUAGGAGGUGACAUUUGAGCUGAUAUUGAAUGAUGACAGAGAGCUGGCCUUGCAAAGAUCCACAGGAAAAGAGUUCCUGGCAGAGGGAACAGCAAGGGCAGAAGGCUCAGGAAACCGUCCAUUUGGAGGUCUGGAAACCGGCACAGAAAUAAACACGGUAGAGCUAGACCAGAGACCAACAAAGUGAAUCUGGAGCUUAGAUGGAGAGAGAAGAGAGAGAUUAAUUGAGGCCCCAGGUACUGCGGAAUGCUUCCCCAGGAGUGGAUGAGGCCGUCUGAAAGGAGACCUCCGAAGUGUUUCUUGAGGAAAUGUGGCUGCAGACCCUAGAAGAAGCUACACAGCACUUGCCAGGGCUGGGAUGAUGUCCAGGCCAUGGAAACACCGUGUACCUGGUCCCAGGAAGAUGAAGUGUGGGCCCAGAGACUAAUGGCUUGAGCAUCUCAGGCUAAGGUUGCCGAGAAGUAGACAGCACCUCUAGAUCCUAGUCAACAUCUCUACAGGCUUGAAGUCUCCCCAGAGGGCAAGGUUGGAAUAAAUCUGAAGCCUGUGGCUUGCCUGGGAGCUGCCCAGACUGUGGCAUCUGGGGAGUGACUUUUUAAUUUUAAUUUUAUUUUGAGACAGAGUCUUGCUCUGUCACACGGCUGGAGUGCAGUGGCGCAAUCUCAGCUCACUGAAACCUCCACCUCCUGGGUUCAAGCCAUUCUACUGACUCAGCCUCCCAAGCAGCUCGGAUUACAGGCACCCACCACCAUGCCCAGCUAUUUUUCGUAUUUUUAGUAGAGACGGGGUUUCACCAUGUUGGCCAGGAUGGUCUCGAACUCCUGAGCUCAGGCAAUCUGCCCACCUUGGUCUCCCAAAGUGCUAGGAUUAUAGGCGUCAGCCACCGCACCCGACUGGGAGUGACUUUUAGUCUCCCUGCCAGCAGCACUCAGCUCCAAGCUAUAGCAGCCCCAGGUGUAUCUGUGACACCUUUGGGCCUCAGCCAGGGAGUCAGGUGUGCUUCACAAGAGACUCAGGCAUUAGGCUCCCCCAGGAGGGGUGCUUUGUCUCUCUGCACCCCACUGCAGGUGAGAGCGCUACAGCUUGUGCAAUAUUUGCUGAAAGAAGCCAUGGAGGCUGGGUGCGGUGGCUCAUGCCUGUAAUCCCAGCACACUGGGAGGCCUAGGCGGGCAGAUCACCUGAGGUCGGGAGUUCAAGACCAGCCUGGCCAACAUGGAGAAACCCCAUCCCUACUAAAAAUACAAAAAUUAGCCGGGUGGUAGUGGCACAUGCCUGCAAUCCCAGCUACUCGGGAGGCUGAGGCAGGAGAAUCGCUUGAACCCGGGAGGCGGAGGUUGCGGUGAGCCGAGAUCGUGCCACUGCACUCCAGCCUGAGCAACAAGAGCGAAACUCCGAAACGCCGUCUCAAAAAAAAAAAAAGAAAGAAAGAGGCCAUGCAGGUGCCUCUAAUUAUCACCACAGUAAUUAUAGGAUAGCUUCUUCCACCAAGUGUGUUCAAAAGAGACUUGGGGAGUCUCCCCCAGGAUGGGUCCUCUGCUUUAGGCACAGACUCCAGGAAGCUGGCAUUACAAGGUCUGUCUGGGCUGCUUAAGCAUUGUUUCUGAGAACAUCAAGGCUUAGGUCUGACCUGGCUCUACCAGUCCCUCCAGGCCAUUUCUCCCCUCUGUCAUCCACCCCUCGCCCCCACACACAUGCAUGUGCACUUUGUUUAUAUUCCAUAGUGACCUGCUUGUAGCUUCCCCACGGGCUGUGUUCUUUUUUGCUUCCAAUCCUCUGAUCAAGUCCAGGAGGUUUCCCAUUGGGUCUUUCUUUUUUUUUUUUUUUUUAGACAAAGUAUCACUCUGUCGCCGAGGCUGGUGUGCAGUGGCGCCAUCUCAGCUCACUGCAACUUUCGCCUCCUGGGUUCAAG